UGCAGUGAUAGAUUGGGUAGUAUGAACAGCCUCAUGAUUUGAGGGUUCUUGUGUCAAAGUGCCAUCAAUUUCCUAAUUGGAACAUAGUGCCAUUUUACAUUAUUUACCAAAAUUGUAACAACUCAAGAGUUGAAAAAUAAGGGCCAGACUUGGCUAGGAAAUAAAACACCACAAGAAAUAUGCAUGUACAAGCAAUUUCUAUAAACAGUAAUGAAAACAUGUAAGUUACAUCAAAGUCCUGGUGUAGAAGGUGAAUUAUUAUUCCUCAGAGGCUGUGUUGUUGAAGAGAACCAGUAUCCUUGGUUCAGCCACGAGCAACUGUGUGUUGCCACCUUUCUGUACUGGUUUCACCUGGUGUGCCUUGCCUGGGAGUGCUGCACUGAGCAUUGGCUACAUCUGUGAUUUGAAUCAGGUGCUGGCAAUCCUGAAAACUCUUGCUUAGGAGCUGGAAGUGAAGUGGUUUCUGGGCUUGUUUUAGCUGAGGUCUGGGUAAACCCAUUUGGCAGAAGCAGUGUUUGAGGAAGUCUAGUGCCACUAACCUUGUCUGAGGGGCAUGAAGGCAAGCUGUAAGAGCACAGCUCCCAGGGAAAUUGUGGUACUGCUUGGUCUGGAAUGCAGAUCUUAGGUUCUCACUGUGGUUCUUGCUAGUUCUGUGGAGGUCUGUCUGCACAUCUGGAGCCAAGGGAAGCGUUUGACAGGGGAGGCUCUAAUUUUUGUUGCUGCAUUGAUGAUCAUCUUUGGAAAAACGUUUUUCUGAAGGAAUUCUAUCCCCAAACUACAGCCCAGUAGUGAGUUCUGGGAUACAGAAGUCCCUGAGAGUACAAUACAUGGCUUAUGUUCCUUCUCUGAAUUCUGGGUACUUGAACUUAUUCCUGUUUAGAAUCUUGUCCCUGGCAAUUAUAUCACUGGCUUCUGCCCUGUUAUGAUGGAAGAGGUUUUUUCUCUUGUGUUUAUAAGUGACCACAGGAUUCAUGUCGGAUGGCAUCGGGGAAAAUAUUACACUGAGAGAGACCUCUGAAAGUGUCUAGUCAUGGGACCAUUCUGCAAAUAAUUAUAGUAAGCACAGAAGCCUGAAAAGGAUGUGUGGAAACACCUCAUGAUAACAGUAAAUGUUAAAAAGCAAAAUUAAAUAACCCCUGUAUGUAUGCAUACACAUCUGCAUGUAUAAUCAUCUUAAUUCCUCCUCUCCAAAGUGAGUAAUUUUGAUGAUCAAACAGGUUUUCCCUUACCCACAUCUUUGCUGCUUGAACAGC